rnacentral:lncRNA from 1 species
ACCUAACAUAUCAACUAGCUGACAUUCUUAUAAUAGAAAAUACACAAAACAUAUCUGAUUAGAGAGUUCUGUAAGAAGACAUAAAUGAUUUCACCUAUAUUCUGAAAUAAGUAAAAAUGUUACGGAGGCGAACUCGUUGCUGCUCAAAGACUUAUUUCGUUCUAACAGUCAUUUGCAUUUUUUACUUUAUUUACAUAACCGACA